GCAGAAAUAUAUUUGAAGCACGUGUUAGUGAUUUACACUAACAGUGAAUACUAACUACACUGAAACCCACAAUACUAAUCACAGACUUUUCAUAUCGGGAGGGAGGUUAAUGGUCACGGAUUCCACUCUACCAGCCAGUGUAGAAACCCCUUUUCCAGCAUCCAUGGAGUCAUGGAAGCUGAUAUGUCGGGCAUGACAACAGGCAGGCUCUACUAUAGAGUGAAGAGACAGGAAGCCAGUUAUCAGGGUAUGGGCUCCUGAAACACUGCAACAGCCAAGGACUUACCACUAAAGAUAUGAUGAGAAGAAAGUCAUCUGCAAACCAGGAAAUGGACCCUCACCAGAACUGAAUCUGCCAUCACCUUGAUCUUGGAUUGCCUAGCCUCCAGAUCUGCGAGAAAUAAAGGUUGUUUAAGCCACGCAAUCAAUGGUAAUUUGUUAGAGCAACCCAAGAUGACCAAGACAGUGAGACUGUGAGGGAUGAUAGCAUUGAGUUGGAUGUGAAAUUAAAACUUUGAAUUAUAACAUAAAACCUU
rnacentral:lncRNA from 1 species